rnacentral:rRNA from 1 species
GGAAUAUUGGACAAUGGGGGCAACCCUGAUCCAGCAAUGCCGCGUGUGUGAAGAAGGCCUUCGGGUUGUAAAGCACUUUCAUUGAGGAGGAAAAGCUGUGCGUUAAUAUCGUACAGCCGUGACGUUACUCAUAGACGAAGCACCGGCUCACCCCGUGCCAGCAGCCGCGGUAAUACGGAAGGUGCAAGCGUUAAUCGGAAUUACUGGGCGUAAAGCGGGCGUAGGCGGUUUAUUAAGUCAGAUGUGAAAUCCCCGGGCUCAACCUGGGAAUGGCAUUUGAGACUGGUAGGCUAGAGUGUGGUAGAGGUGAGUGGAAUUUCAGGUGUAGCGGUGAAAUGCGUAGAGAUCUGAAGGAACAUCAGUGGCGAAGGCGACUCACUGGGCCAUUACUGACGCUGAGGUGCGAAAGCGUGGGUAGCAAAC